UAACACAUACAACUAUGAUUAACACAUUCUUUUUAGUAUUUACAUUGGCAUUCUUUUGUCACUGGACAAUUUUUUGUCACAUAUAAUGAUGUUUAUGAAUCUGUUCAUGUAUUUUCGAGCUUUAGAUGAGUAUAUAUACUACCAACCCUUGCUUGUCCUUUCAGACUAGGCCUACCAGGCUACCACAAGGUCACCUCAGUUGAUUUCAGACUAGGCGAGCUCCUGGAUAGCCUUUGCAAUUCGAUGCUCGGGAUGCGGUGGCAUGUGAGAGGACAAGCAGGCGUGGGGCUAUUUAUGGUUGUCUGAUCAUUGUACUUUGGGACAUUGUACUUUUAGGACGUCAUUAGUGGUCACUUGGGAUGGGUGUGAUCUGUAGCAUUUGAUCCGGGGAACAGAUGGUUUUGUCUUGGUUCUGCUGAUAGGGCAAUAACGGCAAGGAAGAAGGUUGUAGAGUGCGGAUGGAUGUGAAAAGGAAGAGGAUGGAUGCGAGAAGAGAGAAGAGGGGUGAAAGAGGAUAUGGCUAGAAAGAGGAAGAAGGA